UACGUAGGGCGCAAGCGUUGUCCGGAAUUAUUGGGCGUAAAGCGCACGUAGGCGGACAUUUAAGUCAGGGGUGAAAUCCCAGAGCUCAACUCUGGAACUGCCUUUGAUACUGGGUGUCUUGAGUAUGGAAGAGGUGAGUGGAAUUCCGAGUGUAGAGGUGAAAUUCGUAGAUAUUCGGAGGAACACCAGUGGCGAAGGCGGCUCACUGGUCCAUUACUGACGCUGAGGUGCGAAAGCGUGGGGAGCAAACAGG
rnacentral:rRNA from 1 species